AACGGUGUGUGAGCCUAUUUCUAUUUAUUCAGUCGCUCUGCAGGUAACUGUGACCCUCGAAACUGUAACAGAGGGGGGACGUGACCCUGACCUGCAGCACUUGCACUCAGAGUUACAACCCCACCAUCAUCUGGUACAAGAACAGGCAGCCUGUGUCUAACAACACAACAACCAGAGACAACAAGCUGCAUCUAGACCCAGUCAGCAGUGAGGAUGCAGGCAAUUACUCCUGUGCUGUAAAAGGAGAUGAGAGUCUCUCUUCAACCGCUGUCUUUCUCAAUGUCAGAUAUGUGCCAAAGAAUGUUGCAGUGUCCAUCAAAGCCUCUGGCGAAAUACAGGAAGGAACUUCAGUGACUCUGACCUGCAGCAGUGAUGCCAACCCACCAGUGCACAACUAUACCUGGUAUAUGAAGAGUGGAAAUGAAUCUGUUGUUAGGGGCACAGGGGAGAGUGUCAGCUUUGAUACCAGUGGACUCUACUACUGUGUGGCUCAGAAUGAAAUGGGCUCAACAUACUCUGAUGCAGUUACAGUUGUGACAGAAGACACAAAAGCUGCUGCCAUGAUGGUUCGAGCUGGAAUACUUUUUGUCAUUCUUACAAUCACACUGGUGCUCGGAAGUCGGUUGAGG